UACGAAGGGUGCAAACGUUGCUCGGAAUUAUUGGGCGUAAAGCGCACGUAGGCGGCAUUGCAAGUCGGAUGUGAAAUCUUAUGGCUUAACCAUAAAAGUGCAUCCGAAACUGCAGUGCUUGAGUACUUAAGAGGAUCGCGGAAUUCCCGGUGUAGAGGUGAAAUUCGUAGAUAUCGGGAGGAACACCUGCGGCGAAGGCGGCUUCCUGGACUGCAACUGACGCUGAGGCGCGAAAGCUAGGGGAGCAAACAGG
rnacentral:rRNA from 1 species